CAGUCGCCGCGGUAAAACGUAGGGUGCGAGCGUUAAUCGGAAUUACUGGGCGUAAAGCGUGCGCAGGCGGCUUUGCAAGACAGAUGUGAAAUCCCCGGGCUCAACCUGGGAACUGCAUUUGUGACUGCAAGGCUAGAGUACGGUAGAGGGGGAUGGAAUUCCGCGUGUAGCAGUGAAAUGCGUAGAUAUGCGGAGGAACACCAAUGGCGAAGGCAAUCCCCUGGACCUGUACUGACGCUCAUGCACGAAAGCGUGGGGAGCAAACAGGAUUAGAUACCCCCGUAGUCCCUGUCUCUUAUAC
rnacentral:rRNA from 1 species